rnacentral:rRNA from 1 species
AGAGUUUGAUCCUGGCUCAGAACGAACGCUGGCGGCAGGCUUAACACAUGCAAGUCGAACGCCCCGCAAGGGGAGUGGCAGACGGGUGAGUAACACGUGGGAACGUGCCCUAAGGUUCGGAACAACUCCGGGAAACUGGAGCUAAUACCGAAUGUGUCCGUAAGGAGAAAGAUUUAUCGCCUUAGGAUCGGCCCGCGUCAGAUUAGCUAGUUGGUGGGGUAAUGGCCUACCAAGGCGACGAUCUGUAGCUGUUCUGAGAGGAAGAUCAGCCACACUGGGACUGAGACACGGCCCAGACUCCUACGGGAGGCAGCAGUGGGGAAUCUUGGACAAUGGGCGCAAGCCUGAUCCAGCCAUGCCGCGUGAGUGAUGAAGGCCUUAGGGUUGUAAAACUCUUUCAGCGGGGACGAUAAUGACGGUACCCGCAGAAGAGCCAGCCUGGCG